UACGGGGGGGGCAAGCGUUGUUCGGAAUUACUGGGCGUAAAGGGCGCGUAGGCGGCCAACUAAGUCAGACGUGAAAUCCCCAGGCUCAACCUGGGAACUGCGUCUGAUACUGGAUGGCUCGAGUUCGGGAGAGGGAAGUGGAAUUCCAGGUGUAGCGGUGAAAUGCGUAGAUAUCUGGAGGAACACCGGUGGCGAAGGCGGCUUCCUGGACCGACACUGACGCUGAGGCGCGAAAGCCAGGGGAGCAAACGGG
rnacentral:rRNA from 1 species